AAGAUUGAAAAGCAUUAUUUAGGUGACACUCCAGAGAUGAAGUGUUCUCCAGGCUUCGUGUCUGUGGUACUCUUAAUGCUUGGACAAACCCAUGGAGACUCAGUUACCCAGAUGGAAGGCCAAGUGACCCUCUCAGAAGAGGCUUCCCUGACUAUGAACUGUACUUUUUCAACAACAUGGUCCUUCACUGUUUUCUGGUUUGUCCAGUAUCCAGAAGAAGGUCCACAGAUCCUCCUGAAAGCCUUGAGGGACCAGGAGAAGAAAAGCAACAAAGGCUUUGAAACCACUUUGGACAGCAAAUCCAAAUCCUUCCACCUGAAGAAAGGCUCAGUGCAAGUGUCAGAUUCAACUGUGUAUUACUGUGCCAUGAAUGACACAGUGACGGGGUGGGGGGGGAGCUGA